rnacentral:lncRNA from 1 species
CUGGCGAUCACAUCAAGAGAGAUAUCUUACCAUGCUAGGACAAUCACAACAUCUUCAUUGGGCUUAAAGUUGCUUCCCCAAAUUGCCUUAAUCUUUGACGAACCCAAGGCCUAGAAUUGGUAAAAUGCACCUCAAGAUCGACAUCAUUUGCGUCGAAAUAACCGGUCAUACAACGGAGAAAUGGUUCGUCCUUGAUUAUCCAUCGACCCAAAU